GAUGAACGCUGGCGGCGUGCCUAAUACAUGCCAGUCGAGCGAACAGAUGAGGAGCUUGCUCCUCUGACGUUAGCGGCGGACGGGUGAGUAACACGUGGAUAACCUACCUAUAAGACUGGGAUAACUUCGGGAAACCGGAGCUAAUACCGGAUAAUAUAUUGAACCGCAUGGUUCAAUAGUGAAAGACGGUUUUGCUGUCACUUAUAGAUGGAUCCGCGCCGCAUUAGCUAGUUGGUAAGGUAACGGCUUACCAAGGCGACGAUGCGUAGCCGACCUGAGAGGGUGAUCGGCCACACUGGAACUGAGACACGGCCCAGACUCCUACGGGAGGCAGCAGUAGGGAAUCUUCCGCAAUGGGCGAAAGCCUGACGGAGCAACGCCGCGUGAGUGAUGAAGGUCUUCGGAUCGUAAAACUCUGUUAUUAGGGAAGAACAAAUGUGUAAGUAACUAUGCACGUCUUGACGGUACCUAAUCAGAAAGCCACGGCUAACUACGUG
rnacentral:rRNA from 1 species